rnacentral:lncRNA from 1 species
UUAAAAGAGAUAUUCAAAGGUUGACGGAUGAGAAUGUUAUCCAGGUUCAAUAGUCAAGGUAUAUGGGAAAUGAUGUGAAAGUCAUCAUACCAGUAUUCAAAACCCCUGAACGGGUUGUUAUUCAAUUUGAUAGCAGCAGUAAGAAAGAAAACAUAUUGAUAUCAUCGUUGGUUCUACGGUUAGUGGGCCAUGUCCCCUAUGCAUCCAAUAAAGUUGUG